rnacentral:tRNA from 1 species
GGCGGGGGAGCUCAGCUGGUUAGAGCAGAGGAAUCAUAAUCCUUGUGUCGGGGGUUCAAAUCCCUCCCUCGCUACCA